CUACAAGCUUUCAACUCACGCAUGCGCAUGAGAGAAUGUCUCUUUCUCGGUGGACACAAUGGCGGACGCAGAAAAGAAGGUUCCGGCGGUCCCUGAGAGCCUUUUGAAAAGGCGGAAGGCCUUCGCCACCAUGAAGGCUGUGCGCAUCAAGAAGAUGCUUGCCGAAAAAAAAACUCGUAAGGUGACCAGGAAACUGAUCUACAAGAGUGCUGAGAAGUACCACAAGGAGUACAGGGAGACGUACCGGCGUGAGAUCCGCAUGGGGCGGACAGCCCGCAAGUAUCAACGAUGUCAGUCCCAAGGUGCGCAAGGUCCUCCAGCUUCUGCGUCAGAUCUUCAACGGAGUGUUUGUCAAACUGAACAAGGCUUCCAUCAACAUGCUGAGGAUCGCCGAGCCCUGCAUCGCUUGGGGACUCGUAAGGUGACCAGGAAACUGAUCUACAAGAGGGAAGAGAAGUACCACAAGGAGUACAGGGAGACGUACCGGCGUGAGAUCCGCAUGGGGCGGACAGCCCGCAAUGUUGGGAACUUCUACGUCCCAGCUGAGCCCAAGCUGGCCUUCGUCAUCAGGAUCAGGGGACUCGUAAGGUGACCAGGAAACUGAUCUACAAGAGGGCUGAGAAGUACCACAAGGAGUACAGGGAGACGUACCGGCGUGAGAUCCGCAUGGGGCGGACAGCCCGCAAGUAUCAACGAUGUCAGUCCCAAGGUGCGCAAGGUCCUCCAGCUUCUGCGUCAGAUCUUCAACGGAGUGUUUGUCAAACUGAACAAGGCUUCCAUCAACAUGCUGAGGAUCGCCGAGCCCUGCAUCGCUUGGGGGUAAAUACAGUAUCAUCUGUGUGGAGGACCUGAUCCAUGAGAUCUACACAGUCGGGAAGAACUUCAAUCCUGCCAACAACUUCCUGUAAAGUCACCUUCCCCCUAUACAUAUCUACCUCCAUCACUCCAGUAUCUCUGCAUGUUGUUAAUAUGGUACUGACCCUGUAUAUAGUAUGCUUACUUUCUCAUUUUCUUAUAUUUAUUCUGUGUUAUUGUUCUACCUUGUGUUGUUAGUACUAUAUUGAUUACUGCAUUAAAAAACAGUUAAAUAACUACCUUUUUUUUUUUGUCUAUCGCCAACUUCUUUCUUUCUUUUUAUUUUUUUAAAGUUAAGAUGUAGUACUUUGAGGACCACUAUGUAAAAAAAGAAAUAAACAUUUUAAAAUAGA